UGGCGGCGUGCCUAACACAUGCAANCUCGAACGAGAAAGUGGAGCAAUCCAUGAGUAAAGUGGCGACCGGGUGAGUAACACGUGACUAACCUACCCUCGAGUGGGGAAUAACUCCGGGAAACCGGAGCUAAUACCGCAUAACAUCUUCGGAACGCGAGUUCUGUUGAUCAAAGGAGCAAUUCGCUUGAGGAGGGAGUCGCGGCUGAUUAGCUAGUUGGCGGGGUAAUGGCCCACCAAGGCUUAGAUCGGUAGCCGGCCUGAGAGGGCGCACGGCCACACUGGAACUGAAACACGGUCCAGACUCCUACGGGAGGCAGCAGUGGGGAAUUUUGCGCAAUGGGGGAAACCCUGACGCAGCAACGCCGCGUGGAGGAUGAAGUCCCUUGGGAUGUAAACUCCUUUCGACCGGGAAGAUGAUGACGGUACCGGUAGAAGAAGCACCGGCUAACUCUGUGCCAGCAGCCG
rnacentral:rRNA from 1 species